UGGGGAAUAUUGGACAAUGGGCGCAAGCCUGAUCCAGCCAUGCCGCGUGAGUGAUGAAGGCCUUAGGGUUGUAAAGCCCUUUUAGCAGGGAAGAUAAUGACGGUACCUGCAGAAAAAGCCCCGGCUAACUUCGUGCCAGCAGCCGCGGUAAUACGAAGGGGGCUAGCGUUGCUCGGAAUUACUGGGCGUAAAGCGCACGUAGGCGGACUCUUAAGUCGGUGGUGAAAUCCUGGAGCUCAACUCCAGAACUGCCUUCGAUACUGGGAGUCUUGAGUUCGGGAGAGGUGAGUGGAACUGCGAGUGUAGAGGUGAAAUUCGUAGAUAUUCGCAAGAACACCAGUGGCGAAGGCGGCUCACUGGCCCGAUACUGACGCUGAGGUGCGAAAGCGUGGGGAGCAAACA
rnacentral:rRNA from 1 species